AUUUUGAAGGCAGUAUCGUAGCCAAUGAGGUUUAUCCGAGGCGCGAUUAUUGCUAAUUGAAAUGAAAAAAAAAAAACCUCAAGCUACUCCAGAAGAGAGAAGGAAGUGUAUUCUUUUGGAAGUGUAUUCCAAAA